rnacentral:rRNA from 1 species
UACGUAGGGUCCGAGCGUUGUCCGGAAUUAUUGGGCGUAAAGGGCUCGUAGGCGGUUUGUCGCGUCGGGAGUGAAAACAGCGGGCUUAACUCGUUGCUUGCUUCCGAUACGGGCAGACUAGAGGUAUGCAGGGGGAGAAUGGAAUUCCUGGUGUAGCGGUGAAAUGCGCAGAUAUCAGGAGGAACACCGGUGGCGAAGGCGGUUCUCUGGGCAUUACCUGACGCUGAGGAGCGAAAGCGUGGGGAGCAAACAGG